AACAUGCAGGCAGUGUGGUUUCCACCCCUUCCCUUUCCUACUACCCACGGAGGUCCAGCCUGUCAAUCACAUAGAAGCUCUGCCCCUCCAGGCUGGAACGAGGAGCUGCUCUGUUGCUGCCUUCUUGUGACUGGGAACCCCAAUUAUUGCACCGUGUCCCGUAGCAUGGCUCGCUUUGCUCACCAUGCUUCAGGCAAGGGAGGGGAACAACGGCGCUCCGACCAGACCAGAAGAGGACGGAUGCCCUUGGAGAUCUGGAGUUCCAGCCCGGGACGUGAGAAGAUCUACCCAGCUAUCUAUUGUGCAGUUGCGGGGAAUAUAACACCAGGGGGCACCAAGCACAGAGGCAGAAGGAAUAAACUGACCACUGCCUGCGGACGCACCCACCAGCCGCCGGAACAGAUGUCAUAGCAAGGCCUUCUCACUGCUUGUUCUGCUGCAGUCCUGUGAGUCUCCCUCAUCUGUGAUUACAGCUGUGAUUUAUCUGGCUGAGGACAGUACAGCAUUUGAGCCUACACUUCCAGAGACCCCGUGGAAAAAAGAACCAGUGUGUAAUUGUCUAUAGAAAAUGGAUAUAAUAAUGAUGCCGGAGUACCAGGAAGCAUGUUGGCCUCUGAAGAUAAUAUGGGAGCGCAUUAACCAUGCAUACAGUUCAGAUACUCCUCCUAAGGACUGGGGACUUCAAAAAGGGGACUACGGCCUCCAAAUGUGGGUCUUCCCAUCUAACAACGAAAAAUACUCUGUGGUCUGGGAUUCUCAGCGUUCCUAUUGGAAGGUGAACACUCCGUUUGGACAGUGUUUAUUUUUUCUAGGACCUCUGUUCAUCAACAAAGAAAGGACGGGUCUGGCUGUACCCCCGUUAUUCAGUGUCAACCAGUCAGACACAGAUACACUGAUACCGGCCUCGCUUCCAAUGGUGGCAGAGCAAAUGCAUAACAUUUUGAAUUUUAUAGUUAAGCCUUACAGCAACAAAGCAUCCUGAGAUACAAACUGUGGGGGUUAUUCUGAGUUGAUUGCAGCAGCAAGUUUGUUAGCAAUUGGGCAAA